rnacentral:lncRNA from 1 species
GACGGUUACGCGUUGGAUUCCUUCUUGGUUCAGCUUUCGACCGGGGCUGUGGUUGUUUGGGAUCAGCUUCUGGUUGUGGGUGUUGGGAGGAUGACCCACCUUGAUAGAACAAAGAUUGCGGAGGUGUUUGCAUCACCCACGACAGAGGUGUUUGAAUCCAAUAAGACGAUGGAGAUUGGAAAUAAGAUGAGCUCCCCGGCAGUGCCUCGUGCGGUUUCUCAUGCAACGAUGGCCUAUAUAUCGUCGGUUGAGUCGGAGUCAUUAGAAG